rnacentral:rRNA from 1 species
UACGAAGGGGGCUAGCGUUGCUCGGAAUGACUGGGCGUAAAGGGCGCGUAGGCGGUUUGUACAGUCAGAUGUGAAAUUCCUGGGCUCAACCUGGGGGCUGCAUUUGAUACGUGCGGACUUGAGUGAGGAAGAGGGUCGUGGAAUUCCCAGUGUAGAGGUGAAAUUCGUAGAUAUUGGGAAGAACACCGGUGGCGAAGGCGGCGACCUGGUCCGAUACUGACGGCUGAGGCGCGAAAGCGUGGGGAGCAAACAGG